CAAAAGUCAGGCCAUAAACCACAUGGUUUCAGACUUUAUCGUAAUUACUGAGGGAAAUACCACAAUAACCAUCUUUUAACCCAUUUAGACAUAGAAAUGGGUAGAAGAUUCACAUUUUCAACCAACUCGUGUUUUGUUGAAUGCUGCUGUGGAAGACGAGACUGGUGUUCUUUUGUUCUUGGAUGGAUCAGAGCACAGCAUCUCUUUGGGUCAGAAAGGAAUGCCCAAUAUUAUCCAGUGCUGCUUUCCCUGAUGGCAGCUUGAUGCAUUCUCCUAGUGACGAUCCAACCUGGCACGCUAUUUUAACAUUAAUGAGAAACAACAACACCAAACAAGAAAAAUGCAUUUAAGAAUGUUUAUUGAAAAGUUAGGUAUGGGACGUUUUGGCUUAACCUACUUGGCUAGGGGCCAACCAGGAACAGGAAGUUGGGAUAUUGACUUGCAAUAUCUUUGUCAAAAAACCAUCGGGCAUCAUAAUGGUACCUAAUAUUGUGUUUGCCUUCUUUAUUCCUUUCUUAAUGUGUCUAGAAGAUGUAAAUGAUCAAAAUAAACACACAAAUCUUUUUUAGCAGCUUUAUGCUCAGUUUGUCUUGUAUUUACUGUAUGUCUAUAUUUUGUGAUCUGCAUGUACUGU
rnacentral:lncRNA from 1 species